UACGAAGGGGGCUAGCGUUGCUCGGAAUUACUGGACGUAAAGCGCACGUAGGCGGCUUUCUAAGUCGGGGGUGAAAUCCUGGAGCUCAACUCCAGAACUGCCUUCGAUACUGGAGAGCUCGAGUCCGGGAGAGGUGAGUGGAACUGCGAGUGUAGAGGUGAAAUUCGUAGAUAUUCGCAAGAACACCAGUGGCGAAGGCGGCUCACUGGCCCGGUACUGACGCUGAGGUGCGAAAGCCAGGGGAGCAAACGGG
rnacentral:rRNA from 1 species